rnacentral:rRNA from 1 species
UUAUUAUUUAGUUUGUGCUAUUAUGGUAAGCUUUGGUUUUGUGAAUCUUUUCCCUUUUGCAUCAUGAUUCGUUGAGGUUUUCCUUUUAUUUAGGUGUCCCGAAUGGCUUAUGAUUUCUUUUGACUCAGAUUAUUGACUAUUAUUAAUAGUGGUGUUGGAGCUAUCAUUGUGUAAAUGUAGUGGGAAGUUAUAAGGGUUGUGAUAAGUAAAUCGUAUAGUCUUAUAUCUGGUUUCAUAAUAUAUGUAUUUUCUGUUUAGGAUAGUUGAUUUGUUUUGACUGUCUUGGUUAGAGACGUAGUUUGGUUAUAUUGGUUUAUUUAGCUUAGAUUAAUAUUGUCUUUGGUUAAAUAAGUUAUUUACUUGGCUUAUUUAUUUUGAGUAUUGUCUUAGAUUUAAAUAUUAUGUUUUUAAUUUUUUUUUUAAUUAUGAUGGAAUGAGUAGUUUUGGUGUAAUAAUAUUGUUGGAUUUUUAUCUUGUCUUUCGCCCGACUGUUUAUUAAAAACAUUGCUAUCCUUAAGUUGUGGAUAGUAUGGCCUGCCCGGUGUGAUUAUUAUAAACGGUUGCAGCUUUGCUGUACUAAGGUAGCUUAAUAAAUCGCUUUUUAAUUGGGGGCUUGUGAAUGGUCUUACGAGGUGUAUAGUUUAGAUGUUUAGUUUAUCUGUGAAAUUGACUUGGUAGUGCGGAGUCUAUCAUUAUAAUUUAAGACGGAAAGACCCCGAGAUCUUUAAAGAGGUUUUUUGUUUGGGGUAAAAGUAAAUUUUUUAUUUAUUUUAUGAUCCUUAUGGAUGAAGGUUAAAGUUACCUCGGGGAUAACUGAGUAAAGGGUGGGGAGAGAUCGUAUCUAUCCAUUUGUUACUACCUCGAUGUUGGCUUAGGAGCCCAUUAUGGCGUAGAAGUUGUAUGUGGUAGUCUGUUCGACUAUUAAAUUCCUUAUGAGUUGAGUUAAAACCGGUGUGAGCCAGGUUGGUUCUUAUCUAUAUUUGAUUAUCAUUUAGUACGAAAGGAAUAGUGAUAUACAAGUU